AAAACCCAGAAUGUUCCACAGUAUGACUUUAUACACAGGACGACCCUACUAGCAUCAGGAUCCGCAGCGGAUCCGCUUUCGCUCCGCCAAAUCCGCCCCACAGUCCGUCCGCUUUGCGGAUCCGCUGCGUAUUUGUUCCGUAUUCGCAUUCUGACUGUUGCUAACCCUAACCCUUGGAUGGCCUGCUGUUACAGAGAGAAUCUGCGGUUAAAUCAUCUUAGAUCCGCACUGUGAACGUACUUUUAACACAACACUUUGUUUUUGACACAAUGAUUUGUACUAUCAAUGCGCGGAUCCGCGGCUAAACCGGUUCGGAUUCGCUGCGCGGACGCGCCACUGACUCAGCCGUUAUCAGAACCUGAGAGAAAGAAACAACAUCCACCUGUUGUCCGUGGAUUUCACUAUGACAUCAGGACCCUGUCCUUCUGCUGAGUGUCCCCAUCAGGAGCCCCUGUCCUUCUGCUGAGUGUCCCCAUCAGGAGCCCCUGUCCUUCUGCUGAGUGUCUCCAUCAGGAGCCCGACACGCUGAUCAGAGAAUAUACUAUGGUUAAUAAGAAGAUGGACAUAAGGGCCUGAUAAAGACCCUCUGGAGAAUUCCCUCUGCUGGGCCAAGUUCCAAAAAUGUAGAGACAGACCCUCUAACCUGCUGUGGUGGAGUUUACAGACUGACCCUCUAUGCUGUGAGAAAGGGGAAGUCCAGAGCUGGACACUGACAGACUGGAUCUUCACCAGUAGGACUGAAGAGGAGCCAGACCUCACUACACCUCUGCCUCAAAACCUCUGCCUCAGACUGAAGCUAAAGACAGAGGCUCUGAAGCUCACACACUGCACACUCUAUAAGAACAACCAUCCGUCUAAUUGUUCUGUGGUGGUAAACACAAGUUAAGUUUUAGUUUUAAACAGUAUGGUAUGGCUACACUCUGUCUCAUCU